CCUACGGGUGGCUGCAGUGGGGAAUCUUGCGCAAUGGCCGAAAGGCUGACGCAGCGACGCCGCGUGGAGGAUGACGCCCUUCGGGGUGUAAACUCCUGUUGCCCGGGACGAACCGGCGGUUUCGACCGCUCUGACGGUACCGGGUGAGGAAGCACCGGCUAACUCCGUGCCAGCAGCCGCGGUAAUACGGAGGGUGCGAGCGUUGUCCGGAAUCACUGGGCGUAAAGGGCGCGUAGGCGGUGGGAUAAGCGUGUGGUGAAAGUCCGGGGCUCAAC
rnacentral:rRNA from 1 species